rnacentral:sRNA from 2 species
UGUUUUGUGAAAAAAGAGAAGAAAUAUCAAGAAGUUAAUAACUUGUGUUUCGAAAAAAUUAUUAUUAUAUAUCAAAAUGAAAAAAAUGAAAAAAAAAUAAAAAAAUAAAAAAAAAUAAAGAUUUUUAAUUUUUUGUUUUAAUUUAUUUGCGUUUUUUUAUAUUUAAUAAAAACACUCUUUUGUUCAUAAGGAUAUGAAUUUUCCUUUUUCAUUAAAAGUUUCUUUUCUUUUUGGAAUGUUAUAUAAGAGAGAAUAUUUUUAUGAAAUAAAACAAUCAGCAUUAUAUAUAUAUAUAUAUAUAUUUAUAUUUAUAUUAUAUAAUAAAUUGUAAAAGCUUGAUAAUAUGUUAUAGUACAUAUAUCAUAUUUAUAUAAAAUUAAAAUUUUUAUAUUAAAUAAAAAGUGAAUAAAUCUGUUAUGUUUUUUAGCAAAAAAAACAUAUAAAAAUACAACGAAACAAUUAAAUGCACGAAUAGACCAUGCCACUAAAAAUUUUAUUUUCCUAUAGAAUUUAAUAUUUUGGGGAAAUAUAUUUAACAAAUAAACUUUUGAAAAGAAAUGUUUAACACACACAUAAACACAUAAAGUACUGUUAAUAUGAUAUAUAUUUAUAUUAUUAUUAAUAUGUAGAUUAAUGAAGUGAAAUAGAUACAAAGUCUAUAUAUUUAUAUAUAUUAUUAAUGUGUACAAUUUUUUUAUAUGAAUGUAUAUAUAUAUAUAUAUAUAUUUUAUAUUGUUGUUUUAAGAGAUAAGUUGUUUAUUUUUUUAUUUAUUAUAAAUAUUAUAUAUUUCAUUUAUAUAUUUCAUGAAAUUAUUUCUAAUUUGUUAAUAUUUACACAUAAUUGUAAUUUUUAUUAUAUAAUUUAUUUGUUUGUUUUGAUAUCAUAUAAAAAAGAUACACACGUCACAGUGUUCUUUAUAUAAUACAUUAUUUAUAAUAUAAGUUUUGUUUUGUUUUAAUAUAAGAAAAAACACACGUCAUAGUGUUUUUAUAAUAUAAUACUUAUACAUUUGUUUUAUUUGUUUGUUUUGAUAUCAUAUAAAAAAGAUACACACGUCACAGUGUUCUUUAUAUAAUACAUUAUUUAUAAUAUAAGUUUUGUUUUGUUUUAAUAUAAGAAAAAACACACGUCACAGUGUUUUUAUAAUAUAAUACUUAUACAUUUGUUUUGUUUGUUUGUUUGUUUUAAUAUAAGAAAAAACACACGUCACAGUGUUUUUAUAAUAUAAUACUUAUACAUUUGUUUUGUUUGUUUGUUUGUUUUAAUAUAAGAAAAAACACACGUCACAGUGUUUUUAUAAUAUAAUACUUAUACAUUUGUUUUGUUUGUUUGUUUGUUUUAAUAUAAGAAAAAACACACGUCACAGUGUUUUUUAUUUAAUGUAUUAUUUACAUAUUUGUUUUGUUUGUUUGUUUGUUUUAAUAUAAGAAAAAACACACGUCACAGUGUUUUUAUAAUAUAAUAUUUACAUAUUUGUUUUGUUUGUUUUGUUGUAAUAUAUAAAAAAAAGCACACAGUCACAGUGUUUUUAUAGUAUAAUACUUAUACAUUUGUUUUGUUUGUUUGUUUUAUAAAGCACCUGUGUUUUAGUUAAUGUUUUUUUAUUGGCUAUAUAUAAUAUUAUUUUAUUUUUAAUAUAUUAUAUGUUUUGUAUAUAUGAUAAUUAAUUAUUAAUAUUUGCAUAUAUAUAUAUAUAUAUAUAUAUAUAUAAUUUUUUCUUUUUUUUUGAUUAUUAGUCAAUUUUUGUUGUGUUGCGUUUUAAAUUAAUGUGUUUAGCUUUUGACACUUUUAUAUAUGUGUGUGUGUGUGAUUUUGGAUGUAAGAAUAAUAUUUUGUUCAUACUAUUUUAUUAAAAAAACAUAUAUAUAUCUACUCACUAUAUAAAGAAAAUGACUUUCUCGAAGGUUUAUUUUUAUAAUAUAACCAAAACGUGUAAAUAUGAUUAGAAUUAUAAUAAUUUGAAAGAUUUAAAUUUUUUUUUAAAAAGUUUGGAUUAAUUAGAAUAGAUAUUAUUAAAUAUGUAAAUUAAUUUUUUUUUUUUUUUUUAUAUAACAUUUUCAUAUUAAUUUUGGAAAACGUUAUUUUUCUAUAUCAUAUUACACAAAAUACAGUUUUGGUUAGCAAAAAAUAUUAUAUUAAUAUCUGGGUUUUGAAACGUACAGAAGUAUUUUGUAGUGGGAGAGAGAAAGGUAAUAUAUGAAUAUGGUGGUACUUUAAGGUUUUGGUGUAACGCUCCUGUGGUGAAUAGAGUUUUUGGUUUCAACAAUAGUAAAAAGAUUCGUACAGAGAUCACAUAUAUUUAUAUAUAGUGGUCUGAAUUAUCUCUAACACUAUUUGAUUAUUAUUCUGUGUAUACAUUUGGUAGAUUCCCUCCGUAUACUUAAGUAUAUAUUGAAAGAAAAGGCUUAAUAUCAAAACGAUUGAUAGUAUAAAAAGUGAAAUACUUUUAUAUAAAUAAUAUAUACAUAUCAAUAAAUACAUAUAUAUAUAUAUAAAAUAUAUAUAUGUAUAUGUUUUGUGUCGAAUUGUAUUCUUUGCAAUAUUUACAUUAAGUUAUAUGCAAAAUCAUAAGUAUCAUUUGAUAUAUGCAACAUGUAAUAGUCAGCAGAUGACGGAUAAAAAAAAAAUUAUGAAAACUGUAAGUAUUGUUAUGGGUCUAACAGCACCUGCACUGUUGGGGGAUCUUAUUGUUAUUGCUACGAUCUGAAAAAUGUUCCCAUUUUAAGGACAAAAUCUCCUUACUAUGAAGAGAAUUGCCCUCAGCAACAAGGAUCAACUACUAUAUUUGUCUUUGCGAAGGUAUCGUUUCAUCGUAAGUAUCAAACAUUGAUUAGGAUGGAAACUCUUAAAGUAAAAAAAUUGUUAUUACUAUUUUGAGUUAUUCUUAUCUUUUAGGAAUACUUAUUGAAUGCAAAUUGAUUUUCUGCGUAGCACUGCACAAAUAUUAUUAGAAAUUCGCGAAGCUCGGUAGUAAAAUAGUAUGAACAAGGUAGAAAAUGCAUUCAAAGUUAUCACACACACAUAUAUAAAAACAAACAAAAAAAAAAACAAACAUUUGUCAUAUAUAUAUAAUUAAUUUUUUUUAUUUAUUUGUCAUUUUUUUAUAUUUUAUUACUUAUAAUUAGUUAUAUUAUUAAUUUUUUAAAUAAUUUCAUGAUAAAAAUAAAUUGUAAAUUGUUAUGCAUGAAUAAUAAAAUCAUUACGUAUUAUAUAUUAAAUAUAUAUUUGAUUUAUACAUAUUUCUUUGUGUAUUUAUGUAUUUGUGUGUUUUUGUGUGUGUGUAUUUAUUUCAUUUGUGGUUGUGUUUUAUAGUGUUGCAUAUAAAAAAUUACAGGACCCGAUGUACCUAUUAGGAAAAUGAAUAUGUUGUUAAAGAUUUGUAUUUAUAUUAUGAAAAAAUAAUAUAAGGGUAUAAUACAUUUUGUUUUAGAGAGAAUAAAAUGGAUUAUGGGAUAAGGAAAGUGUAUUAUAUGAUGCGGAGGAGAUAUGUAAGAAUAAAUAAUUGUAAUAUGAACGAAUAUAUAUACAAUUAUAGAUAUAUAUGAAUGGAUGGAUGAAUAAUUGUAAUAUGAACGAAUAUAUAUACAAUUAUAGAUAUAUAUGAAUGGAUGGAUGAAUAAUUGUAAUAUGAACGAAUAUAUAUACAAUUAUAAAUUUAUAUGAAUGGUAAUAAGUUGCAUUUAUAAAGUAUAUAUAGUUAAUAUCCAUUAUUAAUAGAACAGAAGGAUAUUUAUAAGGCAUAUUAAUAUUAUAUGUUACAAUAUAUAUGAAGAAAGUGAUAUGAUGAAGGACAUAUCUAUUUACUGGAUGGAUGGAUGAAGAUUUAUGAAGGACGAAUUUGGAAGGAUGUGUAUAUUGUAUAUUUCUCUUAAAGGAAAAUUAUUAUCUUGGAAUCUAAACAUAUUUAUCAGAAAUUUUUUAUCUUGCAUUGGCAAAUGUAUUUUACCCCAAAGGAAUUUAUUUUGCAUAAUAAAUAAUGGAACCUAA